AGCGAACGCUGGCGGCAGGCUUAACACAUGCAAGUCGAGCGCCCCGCAAGGGGAGCGGCAGACGGGAGAGUAACACGUGGGAACAUACCUUUUGGUUCGGAACAACUGAGGGAAACUUCAGCUAAUACCGGAUAAGCCCUUACGGGGAAAGAUUUAUCGCCGAAAGAUUGGCCCGCGUCUGAUUAGCUAGUUGGUGAGGUAACGGCUCAUCAAGGCGACGAUCAGUAGCUGGUCUGAGAGGAUGAUCAGCCUCACUGGGACUGAGACACGGCCCAGACUCCUACGGGAGGCAGCAGUGGGGAAUAUUGGACAAUGGGGGCAACCCUGAUCCAGCCAUGCCGCGUGAGUGAUGAAGGCCUUAGGGUUGUAAAGCUCUUUUGCCCGGGAAGAUAAUGACGGUACCGGGAGAAUAAGCCCCGGCUAACUUCGUG
rnacentral:rRNA from 1 species